rnacentral:lncRNA from 1 species
AUGUGUCACAAGUUUGAUCCUUAUUUUUAAUGAUUCGGGGUUUUACCCCACCAUAGAUGAUCUGCCCCUUGCAACUUUUUUUUUCCUGAUUAACCGAUGUGGAUGCUAUUUCGGCGUUACUAACAAAGAUCUACAUGGUCCAACUACAAAUGACACCGUAAUAGAUUCGUUUUUUUUUUUAAUUUUUUGAAUUUAAUUAUUGUACAAAUGCGAAAUUCAACUAUUUAUCUCAUAGAGGUUUACUUAUAAAAUUGGCAGCCCUGCUUUAUAAUGUGUGCCCAUGCCCACCAAAGUAGAUAUCCGUGUGAAUAUAA